UAGAGGAAGUAAAAGUCGUAACAAGGUCUCCGUAGGUGAACCUGCGGAGGGAUCAUUACUGAGUGAGGGCCUUCGGGCUCGACCUCCAACCCUUUGUGAACACAACUUGUUGCUUCGGGGGCGACCCUGCCGUUUCGACGGCGAGCGCCCCCGGAGACCAUCAAACACUGCAUCUUUGCGUCGGAGUUUAAGUAAAUUAAACAAAACUUUCAACAACGGAUCUCUUGGUUCUGGCAUCGAUGAAGAACGCAGCGAAAUGCGAUAAGUAAUGUGAAUUGCAGAAUUCAGUGAAUCAUCGAAUCUUUGAACGCACAUUGCGCCCUUUGGUAUUCCGAAGGGCAUGCCUGUUCGAGCGUCAUUUCACCACUCAAGCCUGGCUUGGUAUUGGGCGCCGCGGUCAAUCCGCGCGCCUCAAAGUCUCCGGCUGAGCUGUCCGUCUCUAAGCGUUGUGAUUUCAUUAAUCGCUUCGGAGUGCGGGCGGCCGCGGCCGUUAAAUCUUUCACAAGGUUGACCUCGGAUCAGGUAGGGAUACCCGCUGAACUUAAGCAUAUCA
rnacentral:rRNA from 1 species